AGAGUUUGAUCCUGGCUCAGAUUGAACGCUGGCGGCAGGCCUAACACAUGCAAGUCGAGCGGUAACAGAGAGUAGCUUGCUACUCUGCUGACGAGCGGCGGACGGGUGAGUAAUGCUUGGGAAUAUGCCUUAUGGUGGGGGACAACAGUUGGAAACGACUGCUAAUACCGCAUGAUGUCUACGGACCAAAGUGGGGGACCUUCGGGCCUCACGCCAUAAGAUUAGCCCAAGUGGGAUUAGCUAGUUGGUGAGGUAAUGGCUCACCAAGGCGACGAUCCCUAGCUGGUUUGAGAGGAUGAUCAGCCACACUGGGACUGAGACACGGCCCAGACUCCUACGGGAGGCAGCAGUGGGGAAUAUUGCACAAUGGGCGCAAGCCUGAUGCAGCCAUGCCGCGUGUGUGAAGAAGGCCUUCGGGUUGUAAAGCACUUUCAGUAAGGAGGAAAGGUUAAGUGUUAAUAGCACUUAGCUGUGACGUUACUUACAGAAGAAGCACCGGCUAACUCCGUGCCAGCAGCCGCGGUAAUAC
rnacentral:rRNA from 1 species